GGAAAGGGUUAACGGGCUCCGCCGCAUUGGGCUGUCCUUCAAGGGGGGAGCCAGCCAAUGAGCGCGCGCCGCGAUGAGAAGCAAGGUCUCGCUGUGUUACCCUGGCUGGAGUGCAGUGGCUACUUACAGGCAUGAUCAUAGCAUACUGCAGCCUCGAACUCCUGGACUAGAGCAGUUCUCCUGCCUCAGCCUCCAGAGCAGCUGGGACUGCAGACACGCACCACAGAGCCCAGCCUGAGUCAUUUUGAUUCUGUAACUGGCUUCCUCUCGGCGGGCAGGCUCACACCCUCCACCCCCAGCUGGAGAUGGAAGGAGGAUGCUCACCGCCCAUUCCUCAUGCAGGCCAUCGAUGGAAAUGUCAGACAGUGCGAGUCCACGCCUGAACACUUCUGGGGUCCGCUCUGGGACUGACACUGGCAGAUCCAUCGGUGAGCUCCCGCCUGCCACCUCUGGGCCUGCAUUGCGGUGAUAGGGCCAAGGGCCUGGGCCUUCAAUUCUCCAGACUUGCCAAAAUGCUCAGCGCAGGCCUCGUCGGCAACUGCAGACAAGCAGAGGCAGCACCUGGGCUCUGCCUGUGCCUGGCACAGUGAAGCGAGGGUGGGGGCAGGAAUGAGGGUCCUCUCCAUGCAAGGGGGGAAGAUAGAAGAACAAAAUUUCACCCUAAUGUAGUGUCUUUAGACCGUGC
rnacentral:lncRNA from 10 species